rnacentral:rRNA from 1 species
UACGUAGGGUGCGAGCGUUGUCCGGAAUUAUUGGGCGUAAAGAGCUCGUAGGCGGCUUGUCGCGUCGGAUGUGAAAGCCCGGGGCUUAACCCCGGGUCUGCAUUCGAUACGGGCAGGCUAGAGUUCGGUAGGGGAGAUCGGAAUUCCUGGUGUAGCGGUGAAAUGCGCAGAUAUCAGGAGGAACACCGGUGGCGAAGGCGGAGCUCUGGGCCGAUACUGACGCUGAGGAGCGAAAGCGUGGGGAGCGAACAGG